GUUUCGGGGGACCCGGGCCUACUCAGAAGGCGUGGGCAGCACACGAACAUAUGGAAAUCGGGUGGAAUUCUAGAUUUUUGUUUGUAAAAAGCAAAACAACAAGGAACGGUCAUGGCGGGGCGGUGACUAUGGUUCCUUAGGUCGUAGUUGAUUGCCCAAAUAAAUUUUAGGCGAUCGAGGUCCGGGGGCCCGGAACCACUCGGAAGACGUCCAUGACGGGGCGGUGAAUAUGGCAAUCGCGUGAAAUUCUAGUUUUUUGGACGUAAAAAGGAAAAAAAUGAGGAACGGUCAUAGCGGGGCGGUGACUAUGGUUCCUUAGGUCGUAUUUGAUGGCCGGGAAAAAUGUUAGGCAAUCCGGUUUCGGGGGACCCGAGCCCACUCGAAAGGCGUGGGCUCUGCACACGAAAAUAUGGGAAUCGGGCAGAAUUCUACUUUUUUGGACGUAAAAAGGAAAAGAAUGAGGAACGGCCAUGGCAGGGCGGUGACUAUUGUUCCUUA
rnacentral:lncRNA from 1 species